UACAGAGGGUGCGAGCGUUAAUCGGAAUUACUGGGCGUAAAGCGUGCGUAGACGGUUUCGUAAGUCGGGUGUGAAAUCCCCGGGCUCAACCUGGGAAUUGCAUUCGAAACUGCGAGGCUAGGGUACGGAAGAGGGAAGCGGAAUUUCUGGUGUAGCGGUGAAAUGCGUAGAUAUCGAGAGGAACACCUGCGGCGAAGGCGGGUUGCUGGGCUGACACUGACGCUGAGGCGCGAAAGCCAGGGGAGCGAACGGG
rnacentral:rRNA from 1 species